rnacentral:rRNA from 1 species
UGACCUCGGAUCAGGUAGGGAUACCCGCUGAACUUAAGCAUAUCAAUAAGCGGAGGAAAAGAAACCAACCGGGAUUGCCUCAGUAACGGCGAGUGAAGCGGCAAGAGCUCAAAUUUGAAAGCUGGCUCCUUCGGGGUCCGCAUUGUAAUUUGCAGAGGAUGCUUCGGGUGCAGCCCCCGUCUAAGUGCCCUGGAACGGGCCGUCAUAGAGGGUGAGAAUCCCGUAUGGGGCGGGGUGUCUGCGUCCGUGUGAAGCUCCUUCGACGAGUCGAGUUGUUUGGGAAUGCAGCUCUAAAUGGGUGGUAAAUUUCAUCUAAAGCUAAAUACUGGCCGGAGACCGAUAGCGCACAAGUAGAGUGAUCGAAAGAUGAAAAGCACUUUGAAAAGAGAGUUAAACAGCACGUGAAAUUGUUGAAAGGGAAGCGCUUGCAACCAGACUCGCUCGCGGGGUUCAGCCGGGCUUCGGCCCGGUGUACUUCCCCGCGGGCGGGCCAGCGUCGGUUUGGGCGGCCGGUCAAAGGCCUCCGGAAUGUAGCGCCCUUCGGGGCGCCUUAUAGCCGGGGGUGCAAUGCGGCCAGCCUGGACCGAGGAACGCGCUUCGGCACGGACGCUGGCAUAAUGGUUGUAAACGAC